AUUGAACGCUGGCGGCAGGCCUAACACAUGCAAGUCGAGCGGAUGAAGGGAGCUUGCUCCUGGCUUCAGCGGCGGACGGGUGAGUAAUUCCUAGGAAUCUGCCUGGUAGUGGGGGAUAACGUCCGGAAACGGGCGCUAAUACCACAUACGUCCUGAGGGAGAAAGUGGGGGAUCUUCGGACCUCACGCUAUCAGCUGAGCCUAGGUCGCAUUAGCUAGUUGGUUGGGUAACGGCCUACCAAGGCGACGAUCCGUAACUGGUCUGAGAGGAUGAUCAGUCACACUGGAACUGAGACACGGUCCAGACUCCUACGGGAGGCAGCAGUGGGGAAUAUUGGACAAUGGGCGAAAGCCUGACCCAGCCAUGCCGCGUGUGUGAAGAAGGUCUUCGGAUUGUAAAGCACUUUAAGUUGGGAGGAAGGGAAGUAAGUUAAUAUCUUGCUGUUUUGACGUUACCAACAGAAUAAGCACCGGCUAACUUCGUG
rnacentral:rRNA from 1 species